rnacentral:misc_RNA from 1 species
UCAAACUUGGUCAUUUAGAGGAAGUAAAAGUCGUAACAAGGUCUCCGUUGGUGAACCAGCGGAGGGAUCAUUACCGAGUUUACAACUCCCAAACCCACUGUGAACAUACCUAUAGUUGCUUCGGCGGGACCGCCCCGGCGCGCCCUCUAGGGGGCUUGCCCGGAACCAGGCGCCCGCCGGAGACCCCUAAACUCUUUAUUUUUCCCGCACUGCGGCAGUAAUUCUCUGAGUGGCAAACGCAAAAUAAAUCAAAACUUUCAACAACGGAUCUCUUGGCUCUGGCAUCGAUGAAGAACGCAGC